GACGAACGCUGGCGGCGUGCUUAACACAUGCCAGUCGAACGGAAAGGUCCUGCUUUUGUGGGGUGCUCGAGUGGCGAACGGGGGAGUAACACGCGAGUAACCUGCCCUUGACUUUGGGGUAACAUCAGGGAACUGCGGCUAAUAUCGGAUAUGAGCUCUAGCUGCAUGGGGUGGGAUGGAAAAUUUCGGCUGUGCUGGAUGGACUCGCGGCGUAUCCGCCUGUUGGGGUGGUUGUGGCUUAACAAGGCUAUGACGGGUAGCAGACCUGCGAGGGCGAUCGGCCGCACUGGGACUGUGACACGGCCCAGACUCCCACGGGAGGCAGCAGUAGGGAAUCUUCCGCAAUGGGCGAAAGCCUGACGGCGCAACGCGGCGUGAGUGAUGAAGGUCUUCGGAUCGGAAAACUCUGUUAUUAGGUAAGAACAAAUGUGUAAGUAACUGUGCACGUCUUGACGGUACCUAAUCAGAAAGCCACCGCCUACUACGUGC
rnacentral:rRNA from 1 species